rnacentral:lncRNA from 1 species
GGCUUAUCUCAGAAUCGAUUCUUCAAUCAUUGUUUUAUUUUUCACAGUGUUUUAUUCACAUUAGUUUAGGACAGGGACAUUCUUGAAUUUUGCCACAUGCUCAGUAGCACUCUCUCUGCAGCAGUUACCCGUUGAUAUGACAGGGAAAAUCAAAUCUUCAUGGUUUGGUUUCCUGUGCAAUCGAAGUUAACAACCUCAUCAAUAAAUAACAACUAAUUAUUAUUAUUUUUCUGAGCAAAAAAAAGUCAAGUUCUACUCAUCGUACUCAUUGCAGGACUGAGACUGGAUUUCUAGUUGGUGUCUAAGACCUCCAUGUGAUGAGUGCCAUCUGCAGAAUACCACCACUUCCUCAAGAUCAGUUCUAGGCUUGCCCGUUCAGCUGAUGAACUCAGCCUUCCUCACUGACUGAAUGAAUGAAAAAGAAGCACGAUUCGAUCAGUUCCAAGCAGUGAUGCUGAAAACCAGAAGUGCGGUGCCAGACGCUAAUAAAGCAAAAGUAAUCGGUGAAGUCCCAAACAGAAGUGAGGAAGCUGUCUCCCGCAGACCACAGUUCCUUCGUGAACAGGAACAGUAG